CAUUGGUGCUCUCGCGACGAGAAGCUGUGAACCCCGCCAGGUCCGGAAGGAAGCAACGGUAGCAGUGGAUACGGGUGCCGAGAAUCUGCUGGUGUGA
rnacentral:SRP_RNA from 1 species